GAAUUAUUGUUAGCUGAGAUGCAUCUUAAAAGCUCCUUGAAAGAGGUACCUGACUUUUGGUUUUGCUGCCCACUAUAUAUAGUUCAUGAGGAAAUAUCGCAAAAUCUCAACCAUUCUGGCACCUAUAUCACUUAACCACCACUUUUGGAAAAAAAAUCAUAUGACCACCAUUAUAGCCAGGGGACUGUGUCUUAAAGCCGAAUUAUUACCCCUUAGGUCUCUUAACAGCCUUGGCCCACAUGUGCUGAGUAGGCAAUGAUCCGUCCUGUAACGCAGCCAUGUAGCAGAUGGACGAGGCACGAGUUGAGGCCGACCAGCCGGUGUAGAGCGUGCUCUCCCGCGUCUCUCGCCUCCCUGCUAUUAUUUUUCCUGCCAAGAAAACUUUCGAGUUGCUGCCAUCCGCCGCAUCCGAGUACGCCAUAAUGGAGCGGUGAAGAAUGGAUAAUGUUCAGUGAGCAGCCAAGCAACUCAAGCAGCUCGAUAAGUUCCAAGUUGGGGAUGAAGGUCAAGAGUAAUCUUUUAACAGCAUGUGCUCUCAAAUAGGUCAAGCAUUGAAGUGUGGUGCAAUGAAAUUACAACAAUGAUGCUACGGCUGCAUAGGAUCAUUGCUCUGGCUGUCCUGCAGCGUGACCGAUGGACCGUGCUGCUGUAACACCUGGUUUGACAGUUUGUAAAACCGAAAGUUUAGCUGUAUAUCUUUUUCAGACCACACAUUUAUUGAAUUGUAGAGACUAAGUGUUUGAUUGGUAUUGGGGAUUUGCUUUGUAAGUGGCCGAGUUGAAACGGGCUGAACUGAGUUCCACAAAUGAAGUGAGCGACAGCAGCACUCUCGUGUGGCUUAUACUGUGGCUAGGUCAGGCUCAACCCGCGAUUCGUCGAUCUACCUGCUGGUGGUGCUUCUCUGCCUCCUCAGCACUGGCAUAUGGGAGCAAGCAGUCGGUAGGGCUGUUAAGAGCCUGGACGUGUGAGAUCUGGGCUUUGAGACACAGGCUGCCCAUAGAUUGGUGGUAAAAAGCAACGUUGAUACCUCAACAGUUGUGGUUUUGCAAUAUUUACUAUUAAUUCUUGAAUGAUCGCAAGGAUGUAGAGUAUAGCCAUCUUUAACAACAAAAUUUAGUUCAUGAACAUGUGAAAUACAGAUCAGGAAUGACACGACGAAAAGAAAGCCAUGCCAUUUAUAAUAACUGACCCAUUUCUCUCAGUACUGGAAUUUGAGAAGUUCUCCCUGAUAAUAAAAUAUUGAUCUUAUCUUAUGUAGGCCAUGGACUUCGUAGAUUCAGAGGAGUAUAAACAACUUGCUGACUGCCUUGUUGAAUUAAAGGACCUGAUUGGUGCUGCCUAGACUUAUUGAGGUAGGUUUGAGUUUUUUUCUCUAUUUUAGGCUUGAAUUUUUAUCUCUUUGUUUUCUUUUACUUGCAAUUUCUUUGGCUGAGGCUGUUAAUAUUCUCGGUAUCUUGUCCUGAGACUUGUGGUGCAGUGGGCACUGGUCUUAGAAAGUGGGAAAUAUGUUUCUGGGUUAUCUUCGUACUCCCGCAGUUCCUGAAAGUAAGGCAUAUAUUUUUUCCCAGAAGUCAAAUAAUACAAUGUUUGACUAACUUUUUGGAAAAAAACGACCAAAAUCUAUAAUACUACAUUGACAUGAAAUAAAAAUACAUUAUAUUAUGUAUUUAACUGUAUUGAUUUGGUAUUGUAGACAUUAAUAGUUUUUCCAAAAACUUGGUCAAACUUCACACAGUUUGACUUUAAAAAAAAUUAGUUGGCCUUACUUUUAGGAGCGUAAGAAGUAUUUUUCCAACAAAUUGUCGUUUGUGCAAAUGCAUUGUUUGACAUAAAUCUGUAAGUAACUUGGCAAAACCAUAAAGGUAUAAACCAACAAAUAUCAAUUAGUGGUGGCUACUGCCAGCUGCGCAUGCAUGUGUACCCAUUAUAACAACUUUUGUUGUAACCAUGCACCACUGUACCAAAUUAUUGUACAAGCUAGUUUCUACGUUUGAAGAAUAAAUGAGUUAUCUCCAGCUGCAAAGCUUCGUGUUGAUGCAAUAAUGCUAUUUGUUUUCGCCUUUAGGCAGGAUACCUAGAAUGCAUAGCGCACUGUUGCUAAUUGAAGUUCCCAUGUCUAGCAUUGCCGUAGCUGGCAGGUGCAUGUCAAUGCUCUAAUUGGAAGAUGUGUGGAUGUUUUUCUCCUGUAAAUACCGAUAUGGAUGGUCCAGUUUAUGAUGCUGUUUCUUUUUCUUGGUAGAUCUGACUUGUGAAUCAAGGCCGGGUACUUGGGUCACACAAUCCUGAUUGGUGAAAUCUUGGUUUCGUUGAUGAACAUUGUCAUAUGUCGGCGCAUGGUUGAUUUCGGGAGCAUUUCUUGAGGAAAUUAAGAUACCAAGUUUUAUGUGCAAACUUAAGGCGUAUAUGUUAGUUUGGCAUCAAAACUAAACCUCCGUGUAUUGAUUCAUUUAUGCAUGUUGUUUGUAGAAAUAUGAUCCAAGGGAUGCUAUAUUU
rnacentral:lncRNA from 1 species